AAUAAUCUUCUCAUAUUAAAUGAAAAAUAUAAAAUUCUAUUAUUAAAUAGAACGCAAUUUUCUCAUUUAACGAAUUUGAAAAUCUUUUAAUUGAAAAUAAAUUUUAAUAAAUUUUAAGUUUCAUCUUAAAUCUAUGAAUAUUUGAAUGUGUGUAUGUGUGUAUGUAUCGAAUAAAUAUUGAUUAUCGAUUAAUAAGUCAAUCAUAAUAUUGUUGACAACUCUUUUGAUUAUAUAAUCAUCGUUAUACCAAUAAAAAUAAAAUAUCGUAAUCACUGUAUGAUUGCUUGAAAUAUAUAAAUGUUUAAUUGGAAAGAGUAUUUGAUUCGUGAUCAAUAGUGUGUGACUCGAGUGCAAAAAACAAAAAAACAAAAAACAAAAAAAAAAUCUGUACUAUUUUAUAAAUAAAAUCAAUUGUAUACUACUCUACGUUACAUCAUUAAUUUAUAAUGUAAUUGUUAUAAAACAUAUGGUACGAAACUUAUUAUUAUGUGGAUAAACUUCGAGAUCUACGAGAACGGAAUAUAAAUCAAUGCGAAUCAACGCGAAGCCGGAAUUCGCUGCAAUCUGGCCGACGGAUCGACCGCUUCUGGCGUGUCGUUUAUCGAAUACGCGGAUGGAACACACGUCGCUGUGUAUAUACGCACACCAGGAAUCUCGAUGGAAUCCGGAAUAGGCUAAGAGGGCCCUUGAAGAUGCCUAGCCGGUGGCGGUGAAUGGCGCUCCGAGUGGCGAACAUUUAUCCCGUCCAUACUUCAUUGGUCCACAGUUGACGUGAGUACAAGGAAAUGGCAUCUAACGGAUUAAAAUCGGACAUCUAGAUAGCUAACGCAACGAUUCCUGAGAACGAUUCAAUGGAAUUAGAAUUUUUCCCAUUCUUGUUUCCUUUUCUAUGUUUGUCUUACGUCCUUUUCUUUCUCCCUUGUCUUUUUUUCUUUGUCGAUACGCUGCUCCUUCGUUGAUUCGAUUGAUUUGAAAUAUAUUAUGAUAUCAUUUUCACAAUUAGUAAUCUAUUAUUUUUUCCGUUGUUCAGUUCAUCCUUAUAUUAGGAAUUAUUUUGAUGUUUAGAUUGUUGAUUAGAUUGUUGAUAAGUGGCGAUAAUGGUUUUCGCUUGUAUAAAUAGAUUUCAACAUAAUAGUAUUAAAAAUCUUUUACAAAUAUCUCAAAAACUAACUAUAUAUUACAUGUAAAAUAAAUAGUAAAAAGUAAUUGAAGAUAUAAUCUUUUAUAACACAUUUUAAAUCCAUCAAAAUUUUUAUAAUUUGACAGAAAUGUUAAUACAAGAAAAAAUGUACAAUUUGAGAGGAAUAUUAAUAUCAAAAAAAAAUAUAAAAUUUAAUAGGAAUUUUUAUAUAUAUAUAAAAAGAAACUGACAAAAAUUUUAAUACCUCUCAUUAUCAAGGUAUUAACAUCUUUCGUAAAAAGAGCAUGAUAUAAUAUUUUAAUGUAUAUAAAGAUUUCAUGGAAAAGAACAAUACUUUAGAACAAAUUAUUAUUAUUAUUCUUGUUUAUAAAAUAUUUUAAUUCUGUCUGUGUAAAUCUUUCCAAUAAUUUUAACAACUAUUAUUUCUCUCAUUACAAGAAAAACUGUAGGAAAAAAAUAAGAUAAGAAGUCAAGAACUGUCGAAUGUAAAAUGCCGAGGAGCAUCCGAAAAAUUUAAUUUGCUUGGUAUGUCGCUCCAUAAAAUGUACACGAAGAACGUAAAAACGAGACACUCGUUCGUGGCAGAGUUGAUGGCAAUUCUGGGAAGCUAUGUAAAACCGUCGCGUCGUCGUGCGAGACGUAGGAAAAUAAUAAUAUUUUCAUGGUAAAAUGCGAGCUUCUGUAACAUGUUUUCACGAAAGAUACAGAUAAAUAAAGUAACGAAUGUAUAAAUACAAUAAUCGUCGUUUUGUUGUAUCAAUCUUUAAAAAUUUAACAUAAUUUAUAAAGUCAAUUUUAUCAAUCUUUCAUUAAAUAUUUAUUAAUGAAAGUAUUAAUUAUGAAUUUUUUUUAAAGAUUUAAUCUUUUUUUAAAGAUAAUCAUAAAAUGAUUUAUGAAUGUGAAAAAAAUAAUUAAAAGUAAAAAUAAUUAAUCUAUCAUAACCAAUAAAUAUUGAAAAAUAUUAAAUAUUUAUCAAUCAUUAUAAUAAGCAAUAAAUACACAUACAAUCAGAAUAUGUUGAAUGAAACAGAAUAUCAUGAAACUUAAGAAUUAAUUACAGUGAUAAGCAGAAACGUAAACUAGUAAGUAAUGUAUACUAAAGUAAUCUAAUGUAAACUAAAAUAAUCUUAUCUUAAGAAAAAUACGAUAAUAAUUAAUAAUUUUAGUUAUUUUAAUUAUAGAAAUUUUAAUUAAUUACAUUAUAAUUAUAAGCCAAAUUUAGAAUAUUUUUAAAAAUAACAAUAAAAUAUUAUUUCAAAUAUACAAAUUUUUUUUUAUACAAGUUUUAUAUUUUUUUUCAAAAAUUCUAUAUUUUUUUUUCUUCUGAACUUUAUAUUUAUUAAAAAAAAAUUAAUUUUUAAACAAUCAUAAAUUUAUCAGUCCUUAUUUUUAUUUCUGUUUUUAAUUUUGCAUUAUGAAUUUUAUGUAAAAUGAAUAUGUGAAUAAAAUAUAUAAAAAAAAUAUGAAAAUUUUUUUUUAUCAGAAAUAAUUAGCGAUCAUUCUUUAUGAAAGUUCGAUGUUUAUAAAUUUUCCUUAUCUUCAUAAGUAACUCAUUUUAAACUUGCAAUUUCAUGUAAUAAUAUAUUAUUAAACGAAAAAAAAAUUCAUUUCUUUUUUCUUCGAUUUUUUUUUUGCGUUUCUUUGAGAUUUUAUGUUAAUUUUCUAAUUUGAAAAAUUGAAAAAAUAUAUUUUACAAUAAAAUAUUAUGACAAUUUAUUUUUAUAAAUUUAAUUUAUAAUUAUAUUAAUAACGAAAUAAAAAUCAAAAUUUUUCAUAAAAAUAAUUGAAAUUAUUAAUUAUAAUUGUAUUUUUUAUAAAACAAAUGUUAACUUUUGUUUGUUAUUGUAUUUUAAAAUAAAUAAAUAAACUACUUUAUUAAAUAAUUUAAGUACAAUAUAAAUAUAUUUAAAUAUAUUUUAAUAAUUAUUAUAGGGCAUAACAGAAAAAAUAUAUUUUUAAAAAAAAAUAAGUUAUUUUAAAUAUUUCAGAAAGAAUAAUCCUAAUAAAUAUAUCCCACAAUAUUUCUCUCUUUCUUUUUAUAAUAUUUUUUUCUCUUUCGUUACAAAUAACUGAGAUCUGAUGGAACAUCCUACAUAAUCGUAUGAUUAAGUUUGAAGCAUUGUAAAAAAGAAAA